UAUGUGUGUAAGAUGUGUGUGUGUGUGUAUAUAUAUAUAUAUAUAUACACACACACACACAUAUACACAUAUA